rnacentral:sRNA from 1 species
UCAGUUUGUCGAGUUGGUCUUCUAUAAG